AGUGGACAGCCAGUGAGCAGUAUCAGUUUGAGGCCACGCAGGCCUGAACUUUACGAUGCAACUUGAAGAUAAAAAGCACUCAUCUGUUCGACAUGUAAAUGUCAAAGCUGAAUUCGUUUUUAUGGUGCAACCCAAAGCAGUGGAAAUAUCUCAAUUGUCGAGCACAUUGAACGGAGGGUCGUGUACGGAUAAUUCUCGUAGGGGGAAAAAAAAAACAAGAAAGAAAAGAAGAGAAUAUACUUGUAGUCCCACAUCAGUCGCAAUCAUCGCUCAAAGCCGCCUGUGAUCCAGCUGUUCCCGCUACCGGCACGGAGCCUCCACCACCUCCACCUCCACCCUCGCCACCUCCUCCACCUCCCGCACCAACUGCCCCGCCAUCCCGGAGCUCUUUCUCCCUCCGCUCCCUCUCCACUGCCUCCUGUUCGCUCUUGCUGCUGGGGAACUUGUCCUUAUUGUUCUCCUUUUUCCACUUCAUCCUUCGAUUUUGAAACCAGAUCUUCACCUGUCGCUCCGUCAACGCCAAUGCGUGCGACACCUCGAUGCGGCGCUUUCGGGUCAAGUACGGGUUGAACAGGAACUCCUUCUCCAGCUCCAGAGUUUGGUAACGGCUGUACGUCUGCCGGCCUCGCCUCCUUCCGGCAGCUACUGGGGGAGGAGGUGAGGAAAAGGCGGGGAAUGAGGACAUAUGUUAUUAGAGACUGGGUCUCCCAUGCAUAUAGAAACAAGCAAUGGAAUUCUUUUCUUUUUUUUUUUAACUUAAGUGAAAGGAGUCCACAACAGAAUAUAAAAAAAUCAUGUGUUCGUAUUAUUUAAAACAAUAUGUAAUUAUUUUCACUUUUUAUGGAUUUUAAAUAAUGACGAUUGUUAAUAAAUUAAUUGUGUAUAUUAUAAAUCAAAACAGAGCAAAGUUGCAAUCAUAAAAUCUCUGGAAAUAAUAGUAUGUAAGCUAUGUGUCGAAUCGUAAACAAGUCUACAACAUAAACGGUCCAAUUAGUGGAAAAA